rnacentral:ncRNA from 1 species
CCUACUGAUGAGCUGUGCCGCAAUAGUAAUUCAACUUAGUACGAGAGGAACCGUUGAUUGGCACAAUUGGUAAUUGCGCUUGGUUGAAAAGCCAGUGGCGCGAAGCUACCAUGCGUGGGAUUAUGACUGAACGCCUCUAAGUCAGAAUCCGUGCUAGAUGCGGUGCUCUCUACCUCCUCAGCUGUUACCUGAUUAAGGUUAGGGGGGCCCCGUGCUCCCCCGAGAACACAUGACGCGAGCGCCGUCCCCCGGGGCCGAUGCUGCCCCGGGGGCGCGGCUUGGAAAUCCAAUUUCGAACGGUCGAGGAGAUAAAUCCUUUGCAGACGACUUAAAUAGGGGACGGGGUACUGUAAGUGGCAGAGUAGCCUUGCUGCUACGAUCCGCUGAGGUUCAUCCCUCUGUCCCACCGAUUUGU